GAUGAAGAACGUAGCGAAAUGCGAUACUUGGUGUGAAUUGCGGAAUCCCGUGAACCAUCGAGUCUUUGAACGCAAGUUGCGCCCGAAGCCAUCAGGUUGAGGGCACGUCUGCCUGGGCGUCACAUAUCGUUGCCCAAUGCCUAUUGCAGUGCAAUAGGAAUUUCUAGGGCGAAUGAUGGCUUCCCGUGAGCGUUGUUGCCUCGCGGUUGGUUGAAAAUCGAGUCCUUGGUAGGGUGUGCCAUGGUAGAUGGUGGUCGAGUUAGAACGAUACCGAUCAUGUGCAUGCUCCCCAAAAUAUGGCCUCUAUGACCCACACGCGUCUUUUGACGCUCAUGACGAGACCUCAGGUCAGGCGGGGCUACCCGCUGAAUUUAAGCAUAUCAAUAAGCGGAGGA
rnacentral:misc_RNA from 1 species